rnacentral:lncRNA from 1 species
UUUUUUUUUUUUUUUUUUUUUUUUGCUCUUUUAGGGCUGCACCUGCAGCAUAUGGAAGUUCCCAGGCUAGAGGUCAAAUCGGAACUGCAGCCACCAGCCUCCAUCAUAGCCACAGCCACAGCAACAUGGGAUCUGAGCCACGUCUGUGACCUAUACCACAGCUAAUGGCAAUGUGGGAUCCUUAACCUACUGAGUGGGGCCAGGGAUCAAACCCCCAACCUAAUGGGUACUAAUUGGGUUCAUUACAGUUGAGCCACAACGGGAACUCCUUGUUUGUACUCUAUGGCCAGAGUAAUAUCCAAAUCUCAACAACAGUAAAGGUGGGGGCUUCAGCAGAGAUCAGUUGCAGCCAAAAUGUGGAGCAGAUGUGUCAGCCCUGCCGAUAACCUUGGACAAGGUCUUAACGUCUCUGGACUUCAGUUUCUUCACUUAUAAAAUGGAGAUGUAAUAUCCACUUUAAAAGUUAAAACCUUUGUCCAUUGUCAGGGCUAAAUAAGUUCAGUUCCAUUCUGUUUGUUCCACUACACGUAUGUGAUGGUCUGCCUUCUUGGCAAAAGGUCUCAAACCAGUUUGUUCUUGUUUUACUACUAACGUCAACAAUGAAUUGUGCACUUCAAAGAAAAUACCUACUUCUACAUCCUACAAAGUUAAAGGCUAAUAUUGAGGGAAAACUUCAACCACAGCUUGGUUAAGAAUAAAUAUAAAAAUGAACACUUUCCUCUAAGUUUUUUUUUUUCCUUCUGGGUGCCAUGAUAAUUACAUAAUUAUGAAUAGCUUAUUAUUUUUCUGUUUACUUUAAUUCAUUAAUUGAUCCAUUAUCAAAUAGUUAUUAAAUCACUAUUGCAUACCAGGCACUAAGUCAAUCCUGGGAUGGAGGGGUGAACAAAACAGAUGUCAUCCUUAUCCUCCCACAUCUUAGGAGUCUAGUUGUGGAGUCAGAUGCUAAGGAGAGGUGAAGUAAGAAACAUAAUUUAUGGUUCUAACUGAAAAAAAUGAAUAUGAAAGCUCUCUAAUAUUGCAUCAUAAAGAUAGUGAUGCUAAAAUCAAUAUGCAUAUUGAUAAAUAAAUUUAGAAAUUGAUAAAUUAAAUCUCUUAACUGUUCCCAGAAAGGAUUUACAGAUAGAAGUUCUUAGCCCCUGUUGAAGGACAGGCUUCAAGGACUCUCAGAAAAAAAUAAUUUUACUCUAAAACUCAACGGUAUGACCUGUGAUUGAUUCAUUGAGACUGAAUUCAAUUCAACUGACUCAGCUCAAUUCAACUUAAUUAAACUUAACAAACGUUCUUUGAGGACUGCAUUACUGUGGAAAGAAAUUAUUUUUUUCCCUUGGUGCUUGAUACAUUCCUCUCCUUCCCAAAGCCCUAAAAAGUUUUAGAUCUGACUUUAUUCCACCACCUAAUAAGAGCUCAGAGAAUGACAUAAGCGGCAAACCAAAACAUGCCUUAGCAGCCCAGCAGGAAUGAAUUGUAAAGUUUUGUUUUUGUUUUUUCUUAAUGAAUCAAGGGAGCGAUUGACCUUUUCAGCUGAAAGCAAUUAGUGAAGAAUUAUGUUCUAGUCUUUCCUAGAAUAGGUGGCAACAAUUACUGUCUCUGUGCAUAUUCUUCCUCUUUAAAUUUGAAUUUCUAAAAAUGAUUUUAAUUUUGUGUGUUUUCCAUUAAAAAAAUGUAUAUAGUUCCUUUCCUUUACUUUUAGCCCAGGUUCACCUCAAAAGUUUGUUUUGGGGGCCUUAAUGACUUGUUCUCAGUUUGCCUAUUAGUAGUGCCAGAAAUGCCUUAGACAAUUUGAUAUGGAUUUUCUAGGGACAUAAGGCCAAAAGUAGUCAGUGCUAAUUGAAAGUUCUAUCCAUUUGGAAAUAUUUUUUACCUGGUAAAGCUCUAGUGAAACUGCAGCAAAAGAAACUCCACCGCUGAAGUUUUCAAUUGUGUUAACUAGAGUGUUUUCCUCAGCUUGGCAAGCACUGGUAGAUAUAGGUGUUUAAUUCUGUUUAAUUUAUAGCAACCUCCAAAACAUGUUUGUUUUCAUUUUUUGCAGAAUUGAGAACUAGACUGCCUAUACAAAGUUUUUCAAGUAAAAUUUAAUGCUAUUUUAGUUGCUAAUUUUUUAGUUGAAUUUUGCUCAUCUUAAUAGGAUAAGAUUUCUAAUAAUAUGGACAAGAGCUGCUUUUUUAGUUUGGAAUUCACUGAGUAAAUAAUCUUUCAUAUUUCUAUCAUGUUAAUUGCUGUGUAUCAAGCACCAACAUAGUUUGCAACCUUGUAGGGAAAUGACAGAUACUGGAAAAGUCACUUAGUGUUUUCCAAUGACUUGAAAUUACUGUGAUAUCAGUUGCAAAAACCUUAGAUAUCCCACACAGGUCACAGAAGACAGGCAGAAAGCCCUAGUUGGAAAUGACCUUAAAACUCUUUUAAUCUAACAACUUUCUUGAUAGAAUAGGAAUUUCAAGAAAGCUGUAAGACAAAGAGAGCCAUUUCUAGCCUACUUGGCUCAGCUAAAUCUAGCGAUCUAGUGAGUCUCUAAGAGACCUUGGCUGAAGGACCAUUCCUCCAGAAAGAACUUUUUUUUUUUUGCUUAUUAGUGCUGUACCUGUGGCAUAUGGAAGUUCCCGGGCUAGGGGUCAAAUUGGAGCUGUAGCUGCCAGCCUAUGCCACAGUUACAGCAAUGUAGGAUCCAAGCCUCCUCUGCAACCUACACCACAGCUCAUGGCAAUGCUGGAUCUUUAACCCACUGAGCAAGGCUAGGGAUUGAACCUGUGUCCUCAUGGAUACUAGUCAGGUUUGUUACUGCUGAGCCAUGAUGGGAACUCCCAGAACUUGUUUCUAACAUAUACCUGAGGGAAUCUUCAAUCCUGACCCAAACAACUUUUUUUGGGGGGGUGGGGGGCACACUCCAGCAUGUGGAAGUUCCUAGGUAGGUAAGGGGUCAGGGAUCAAACCUGCAGCACAGCAGCAACCCAAGCCACAGCAGUGACAAUGCCAGAUCCUUAACCCACUGUGCCACGAGAGAAUUCCCUGAGCCAGUAUCUUAAUUUUUCCUUUGGAGGUUUGAAGAAUCAUGGGGGAAGUACAAACUGUUUUAGGCCAUGCCUAAAAGUACAAUAUUUUUUUCCCCUCACUUGCAUCUGAUGCUGAGAAAAAAGUGUCCUACACUUUGACAACAAAAGGAUUUUUUCCUAACCCAUUCUUUAGUCAAGAAAGGCCUAAUAUCUUAAGGACUUUGGAUUUGUGAAGGAAUCUUGUUCCAAUUCUACCAUGUGUUGACCUAAAUAAAGCCUCAUCUUUUAUCUUCCCCU